rnacentral:rRNA from 1 species
GACGAACGCUGGCGGCGUGCCUAACACAUGCAAGUCGAACGGAAAGGCUCCUGCUUGCCGGGGCUCUCGAGUGGCGAACGGGUGAGUAACACGUGGGUGUUCUGUCCUGCACUUCGGGAUAAGACUGGGAAACUGGGUCUCAUAUCGGAUAGGACCAUCGAUUUGUGUUGGCGGUGGAAAGAUUUGUCGGAGUGGGAUGAGCUCGCGGCCUCUUAGCUUGUAGGUGAGGUAAUGGCCUAUCACGGCGCAGACGGGUAGCCGGCCUGAGAGGGUGUACGGCCACAUUGGGACUGAGGUACGACCCGGACUCCUACGUGAGGCAGCAGUGGGGAAUAUUGCGCAAUGGGCGCAAGCCUGAUGCAGCGACGCCGCGUGGGGGAUGACGGCCUUCGGGUUGGAAACUGCUUUCGCCAGGGACGAAGCGAAAGUGACGGUACCUUGAUAGAAAGCGCCGGCUAACUACGUG